ensembl:lincRNA
AUGGCCUCCAGAGAGCGGCAGAUGGGGACCCGUGGUACCAUCUCAUUGAAGCCUUCUGCUCAGAGACUGUUGGCUGUGAGAACUUCAGGGGUCUCUGUACCAACAGGGAAAAUGAGCCUCAGAGGAGUAAAGGAUCAAACAGAGAGAAGGCCUUGGGGGACAUCGUGCCACCACCAAGGUUGUUUCCUCUGCCCCCAUCUUGUCCCUUCAGCCCUUCUUCUGGGUGCUGGUGUGGGUACCAUCAGCUUUGCCCUCUUCUUCUUAGUGGGUAUCCUUGCCCACACUGGCCUCCAUCCUUGCUCCCAGGACCUCUGUGAUUGCCUCCUCACAGGUGCCUCUGGUCCCCCACCUCUCUACAGCCAGGAUGACCUUCCUAGAUCUCAAGUCAGGCCUCUUUUCUUUCCACCUGAAGGCCACCAUGGCAUCACGCCUGUAAGGCCACUUCAGUGGAUCCCUCUCCCUCACUCCCCACCCUUGCCCAGUUGUCACUGAGACCCCAAAAUUGCAGAAGCCCCAAGUCUCCAGCCCAAAGAGGGUGUACCUUCCACAUGCACUGAGAAUUCUGCACCCGAUGACCCAUCUCAGAGCCUGGCUCAAAUCCUCCUCCCCAGCUCCCUGAGCCUGUGUACUGACCUUCAUCACGGUAGGAGCAGUCGCUUCUUUGUGCUGCUCUAAGUCCACAAGAUUGCUUCCUUCGAGAGACUCGUAGUCAGACCACCAAUUUAGGCCAUUCUUCGGUAGGGAAGGUUCAGCCCAGGCUCUCAGAACAUAAGAAGGGGGACAAGGUCUUUUUCUUUCCUGAGCCUGUUGUUGUCCAGUUGCUAAGUCAUGUCCAACCCUUUGCGACCACAUGGACCGCAGCACGCCAGGCUCUCCUGUCCUUCACCAUCUCCCGUAGUUUGCUCAAGCUCACGUCCAUUGAGUCGGUGAUGCCAUCCAUCCAUCUCAUCCUCUGUCAUCCCCUUCUCCUUUUACCUUCCAUCUUUCUCAGGGUCUUUUCCAAUAAGUGAGCUCUUUGAUCAGGUGGCCAAAGUUAUUAGAGCUUCAGCUUCAGCAUCAGUCCUUCCAGUGAAUAUUCAGGGUUGAUUUCCUUUGGGAUUGACUUGUUUGAUCUCCUUGCAGUCCAAGGGACUCUCAAGAUUCUUCUCCAACACCACAGUUCAAAAGUAUCAAUUCUUUGAUGCUCAGCCUUCUUUAUGAACCAACUAUCACAUCUGUACAUGACUACUGGAAAACCUAUAGCUUUGAAGUACCCCAACAUGUUUUGUUUUUCCACACCACCAAACAAUUCUCCAAUUCUCAGCAAACACUAAUGGGGUGCCCUCACAAAUUUAACUCAAUUCUGAAACUAUGUACCUGGAGGUGGUAUUAAAUCCCACAGGUUAAGGGCUCAGUCUUGCCCUUCACUACCUCCUAAUCCCUUCAGAUGCCAAUUACAAGUCCCAGGUCAUCACCUGUGCUUCUGACCAGCUGGCUCUAGAUCAGAGGUUCCUACGAUCCCUCUGUGGAUUUGAUCAAUUUGCUAGAGCAACUCACAGAAUUCAGAGAAACAUUCAUGUCUACCAGUUUAUUAUAAAAGGCUACCAUUUAGGAACAGCCAGAUGGAAGCGAUGCACAGAGCAAGGUAUGUCCCACUCCUCAAUCUCCAGCCCAGAAGCUCAUCCACUCUGGUUGUUCAAGAGUUUUUAUGGCACUUAAUCUGUAGGCCCUCUCUCUAUUCCCAGGGGUCACUAGGUAAGCCUGAAGUUCCAACCCUCUAAUCACUUGGUUUUCCUGGUGACCAGCCCCAUCCUGAGGCUGUCCAGGGCCCCACCCUAAGUUAUAUUAGCUGACACUCAGGUGUGCUAGAAAGGGGCUCCUAAUCCUAGAAAAUUCCAAGGGUUUUGGGGCUCUUUGCCAGAAACAGGGGGCAAAGACUAUAUA